rnacentral:misc_RNA from 1 species
AACGCACAUUGCGCCCGCCAGUAUUCUGGCGGGCAUGCCUGUCCGAGCGUCAUUUCAACCAUCAAGCCCCGGGCUUGUGUUGGGGCCCUGCGGCUGUCCGCAGCCCCCGAAAUUCAGUGGCGGGCUCGCUGUCACGCCGAGCGCAGUAGGUAACUCUCGCUUGGGCCGUGGCGGCGGGCGCCAGCCGUGAAACCCCCCAUCUCCUCAAGGUUGACCUCGGAUCAGGUAGGAAUACCCGCUGAACUUAA